AGCGAACGCUGGCGGCAGGCUUAACACAUGCAAAUCGAGCGGACCUUUCGGGGUCAGCGGCGGACGGGUGAGUAACGCGUGGGAACGUGCCUUCCGGUUCGGAAUAACCCUGGGAAACUAGGGCUAAUACCGGAUACGCCCUUAUGGGGAAAGGUUUACUGCCGGAAGAUCGGCCCGCGUCUGAUUAGCUAGUUGGUGGGGUAACGGCCUACCAAGGCGACGAUCAGUAGCUGGUCUGAGAGGAUGAUCAGCCACACUGGGACUGAGACACGGCCCAGACUCCUACGGGAGGCAGCAGUGGGGAAUAUUGGACAAGGGGCGCAAGCCUGAUCCAGCCAUGCCGCGUGAGUGAUGAAGGCCUUAGGGUUGUAAAGCUCUUUUAUCCGGGACGAUAAUGACGGUACCGGAGGAAUAAGCCCCGGCUAACUUCGUG
rnacentral:rRNA from 1 species